UAGACUCGAAUUGUGCGUUAA
rnacentral:piRNA from 1 species